rnacentral:tRNA from 1 species
GAGUAUAGCCUAAUGAAAAGCACAUUGAACUUGGAAUUCAAAGAUAUGGAUUCAAGUUCCACUUACUGGCA